CUAGAGAGAGAAGUAGAGCUUAACAAGGAAAAUGAGCAUGACAUGAAAUUUUAACUAAAUCUAAAACUCAAAAUACUAACUUAAAAAAUCUCUCACCGAUGAGGACAUCCACACUCCCUGCCAAAGAGGUCAUUUUUUAAGGACAGAUAAAAGGGAAUUGAACAUUCUUCCUUUUUCCUUCACAAAGUCCUCACCCUGCAUUGUAUCAAAUAAAUGUUUAACCCGAGAAAAGGGAAAAGCCAUAGGUUCUCAUAAAUAAGUCAAUGGCAUGUUUUCUUUGAAAUCACGUAAGCCCAGCAGGUAUCUCUCUAAGGAAUGCUUGUUUUCCCUGGUUUGACAUGUGUAUACUACUGUCUUUUUUCAACUCCUUGAAAAUAAUCUCUCUGAGGAGUAAGUGGUUUUUUCUUUUUGUUACAGUAACAUGAAGUGGUUUCCAAAUCUCAUGAGAAAGAAUUAGAGAAAAUGAUGAAAGAUCCAACGGUUCAUUAGAUAUUAAAAUUGACUUGAUGAGAACUCAAUAAGAGACCUUUAAAAUCUCUAUGUGUGAUUAAAUUCUUAAUAAAAAGAAUCUCCCAACAUUUUUUAAAGUUGCUCAACUUGUGGCCUAGAUGUUGGAGUCUAAUAAAAACAAAUGUCUUCUAAUCCCAUGACAGUGCUC
rnacentral:lncRNA from 1 species